UAUACAGAGAAACCCUGCCUCGAAAAAACAAAAACAAAAAGAAAAACAAAUCGACUUUUAUUAUUAUGUUGUGUUUCACAAGAAGGCAAAUGCUCUAACUCCUGGGCUCAAGCCCUUUGGCUUCGGUUUAAGAUCCAAACUAAGCAUGGUGGAGCAUACCCGUGCAAUCCUAGCUCUUGCAGGGUGGAAGGCCAGAGAAGCAAGAGGAACUCAGGGCUAGCUCUGGCUAUGUGAGCGCUGGCUAGCUCUAGGCUCCAUGAGACCUUGUCAGGAAACAGAACAAGCAAAAAGUUAGGAAAAUGGCUCAGCUGGAAACCGGGCAUUAACGAUCAGUGUUGAAGAGCGCACAUGAAAAGCCAGGUGCUGUGUGUCUGCAACCCCCAUCACUGAGGAUGCUGGGACAGCUGGGCCCCUGGAACUCACAGGCCAGCCAGAUCAGCCUCACUGCUGAGCCUCAGGUCCUGGGCAUGCUGGCCACACAGAGCUGCAUCUCAGACCCCUUCACACCAUCUAUGACAGUCACUAACAGAGGUUCCCGAGGAAGGCCACGUGGACAGAGAGAAGGAAAACACGGUGUCUCUCCUUUACUGACUUUCCACCGCCAAGACGGGGGUGCUGGAGGGAAAGGGCGGGAUGCUUUGAGCAGGCACCAGGACCCCUACUUGGACCCAGUUUUGUGAAAAGUCCUCUCUGCAAAGGUGACAUUAAAGUGGCAAUCGCUAUAAGGA